rnacentral:rRNA from 1 species
GAUGAACGCUGGCGGCGUGCCUAACACAUGCAAGUCGAGCGAUUCUCUUCGGAGAAGAGCGGCGGACGGGUGAGUAACGCGUGGGUAACCUGCCCUGUACACACGGAUAACAUACCGAAAGGUAUGCUAAUACGAGAUAAUAUGCUUUUAUCGCAUGGUAGAAGUAUCAAAGCUCCGGCGGUACAGGAUGGACCCGCGUCUGAUUAGCUAGUUGGUAAGGUAACGGCUUACCAAGGCGACGAUCAGUAGCCGACCUGAGAGGGUGAUCGGCCACAUUGGAACUGAGACACGGUCCAAUCUCCUACGGGAGGCAGCAGUGGGGAAUAUUGCACAAUGGGCGAAAGCCUGAUGCAGCAACGCCGCGUGAGCGAUGAAGG